UACGGGGGGAGCAAGCGUUGUUCGGAUUUACUGGGCGUAAAGGGCGCGUAGGCGGUCAACACAAGUCAGUUGUGAAAUCUCCGGGCUUAACUCGGAAAGGUCAACUGAUACUGUGCGACUAGAGUGCAGAAGGGGCAACUGGAAUUCUCGGUGUAGCGGUGAAAUGCGUAGAUAUCGAGAGGAACACCUGCGGCGAAGGCGGGUUGCUGGGCUGACACUGACGCUGAUGCGCGAAAGCCAGGGGAGCGAACGGG
rnacentral:rRNA from 1 species